AUGUCGCGCUUCGGGAAGACCGUCCUCCUCUGCUUGGCCCUGUUCGCCGCAUGGCACCUCUGCUCCACCCUCUUUGCCGGCGCGCCUCCUGGUGGCCACUCUGAGGAGGAGAAAGCUGUGGUCAGCGACGCGGCCGGGAAUGCGUCGGGCCUGAGUCUCGCCAGGGAGGCCGGGGUCCGGGCGGCGGCUGGCACAGGCCGCAACUUCGUCGUCUCGCCGCUGUCCAUCCACGCGGCGCUCGCGAUGGUGGCCGCCGGCGCGCGGGGCGAGACGCGUAGGGAGCUCCUGGGGCUCCUCGGCUCAGCGUCGCUCGACGAGCUGCACCGCGCGCCGGCGAUCAAGCUUGUCGGCAGACUCAACGGGCUGAAGCAGACGUCCUUCGCCUGCGGCGUGUGGGUCGACCGGAGGCGGGCGCUCAGGCCGGAGUUCACGGCCACCGGCGCGUCGCGGUACGCCGCGACGGCGGAAUCCGUGGACUUCGUGUCGGGGGCCGAGCAGGCGAGGCGGCGCGUGAACGGCUUCGUGGCGGACGCGACGAAGCAGCGCAUCCGUGACGUCCUCCCUCCCGGCUCCGUCGACUCGUCCACGACCGUCGUCCUCGCCAACGCGCUCUACUUCAAAGGGGCGUGGCCUGAGCCGUUCGACGUCUUCACCGCGCCGUUCCACACCCCAGGCGGCGCCACCGUGCGCGUGCCGUCCAUGACGACAGGCCGGUCACAGUACGUCGCGCUCUACCCGGGCUUCAGGGCCCUCAAGCUGCCCUACAGGAACGACGGCGACCGCUCCGCUGCAUUCCACAUGCUUAUCCUUCUGCCCGACAGCGGCGGUCUCAGCCUUUCCGAUAUCUACGACAAGGUGGUGUCGUCGCCGGAGUUCAUCAGGAAGCACACGCCAGAAGAGGAGGUUGAAGUACGGCGGUUCAUGGUCCCCAAGUUCAAGUUCACGACCGAGUUCGAGGCGUCGUCGGACAUGCGGAAGCUUGGUGUCACAAGGGCUUUCGCAGGCGGCGACUUCUCCGGCAUGGUGAGCGGCGGGGAUGGGCGGCUCUCCAUCGGCGGGGUGCACCACAAGGCCACCAUCGAGGUGGACGAGCAAGGCACCGUGGCCGCUGCUGCCACGGCCACUGACAUGGCUGGUAGCGCGCUUCCAAGUGAGCCGCCGCAUUUUGUCGACUUUGUGGCGGAUCGGCCCUUCUUGUUUGCCGUGGUUGAGGAGAGGACGGGCACGACGCUGUUCCUUGGUCAUGUGGUUAAUCCUCUCGC
rnacentral:rRNA from 1 species